rnacentral:lncRNA from 1 species
UUUUAACCUAAAGAUGUUAGACAGAUGGGGACUGUGUUUUUUCUCAACUGCUUCACCAUUUUAAACGAUUUCUGCUUUAGUUGACAGAUUUGCCCUCCCCAGCAGUCCCACUGCUGCCUCCUGCCCACUCAGUCCCAGCCCUAUGGUGUUGGGAGCAGCAGCAGGGCCCAUACUCUGGGGCCUCACAAAGGGAGGUGGGAAGAGGUUCCACGUGUUGGGCUGAGCCAGGCCCUCCAGAGACACAAAGGUGUUUUGUAAGCCCAGGCACCAGUGAGAACGGACCAAAGAGUUUCAGGGCAGCUCCAGUAUAUUCCAGAGUCAAGCCUGAGCUCCAGGCAUGCCUGAAGAUGCCCCCUCCUCUGACAUCCUGAGUGUCUGUCCACACAUUGCAUGCAUGGUGCCCACACAUCAGAUACUAUUGUUCAUGCAACUUCCCGAGUUUCUGAGACCAUUUAACCUAGCUUGAAUGCACAAUGACUGCUCUGUUUUUAAUGACACAGAACAUUUGAGCAUUGUAUUUCUCGCAUCCCUUCUUGUGAGCACUAGGCUUUUUCCAAUCUUAGAUUUUUGCUUUGAAAUUUUGCUUUUGUAUGGACACUCAGCAGAAAAGUACUUCUUGCCAGUUAUCUAUUAACACAAACCUUUGAUUUGUAGUUUUAAGGAUUAACCCUCAAAGUUCUCUUCAUAACUGCCUUGACGUUUGGGGUUCUGUUCUGUUAAUUUUCUUUUGCUUUUUUGUGUUUUUUGUUUGUUUUUACUUUUGCAUUUAAGACCAUUAAAUUUGAUUUUGUUUUGCUCGAGUUUUGUUUUGUUUUUUGUUUUACCUUUUCUUUCUUUUUUGGCUAGGGAAGGACACAGACAGCCCAGCAUCCAGGGAGGAGUCUGUCAGACCUUAAACACUUGCCUCAAGUUUAAAAAGCAUUUCUGGAGCUAUGGUAUAGAAACACAGCUAUGGAUCAAUGGUUCUUAACUCGGGAGCUGGUAGGAAAGGUCAGAGGGAAGGUCUUGAGAGCAGACGAGGCCUGACCUCUACAGCCUCAGGACUGCUCUGAUUUUUAUUAGUGUGUGGAGAGGAUGAGAACAGGCUAGUGCAGUUACUGGCAGCUCUUCACUUUGAUGUGAGCCUGGAGUGUAUAACAGCAGGCUAGUAUUUAGUUCUUGAUAUCAUGG